GAAAUGCGAUAAGUAAUGUGAAUUGCAGAAUUCAGUGAAUCAUCGAAUCUUUGAACGCACAUUGCGCCCGCCGGUAUUCCGGCGGGCAUGCCUGUUCGAGCGUCAUUUCACCACUCAAGCCCAGCUUGGUGUUGGGGCCCUGCGGCUGCCGCAGGCUCCCAAAUCCAGUGGCGGGCUCGUCGUCGUACCGAGUGCAGUAAACAUCCUCGCUCAGGGAACGCGUCGGGUUCUUGCCGUGAAACACCCCACAUAUCAAGGUUGACCUCGGAUCAGGUAGGAAUACCCGCUGAACUUAA
rnacentral:misc_RNA from 1 species